rnacentral:piRNA from 1 species
UAAAGACCAUUAUAGAGUAUUCUUUGC